AGCUGUUUUAAAAAAACAAGCAAGCAGCUAUGUUUAUUUUAACCAGAUGAGAAACUAAAUCCUGUCCUGCAUGUAGCUGAAGGGCACUGAUAGAUGCAGAUAUCUGGCUCUUUCUUUCAUCUAUUAUCCUUUCCUUCAAGUUUCCCCUUUGGAAACCGACUGCUCUCCCAUACUUAUAAACGUAGUAUUCCAAAUAGUGUCUUUAAUGUGAAAUCAGACCUCCUAGCUGUUUCUUUCACUUAUCUGAUUCUCCUUUUCUGACUUUGUCUCUCUGUGAUACUGUCUUGUCCUCUCUUUACUUUCUUUCCUGGUGUUUUCCAUCAUCGUCUCCUGUUCAAACUUUCCUUUCCUCCCAUAUUCCUCCUGUUUCUAACAUCUCGUCGCCAGCAUCGUGUGUCCUCCAUCUUGGAGGCCGAGCAGGUGUUGGUCUUCUCCUCUGGGAUCUUGGUGGAAAGUGACUCGGGUCCGAACCUGCUAGCACAGGAGGAUAGCCUCUUCCAUGUGUUAGUGAGGACUCACAAGUAGACCCGGGAUCAGCACAGACCACUUUGCCCAUCUCCCUUCUGUUUUUCCCUUUUCCUGACUUUCCCUCAUUUCUUUUCCCACUUCUCUCUACUUCAUCUUACUUUUCCUGGCUGAGUCUGGGUCUGCUGAAGACUUACUGCCUCUGACAGCCUGCACCGUGUCCACACCAUCCUCACACACGAUCUGGUCAUUGUGAUGAAGCGGGGGAACAUUUUGGAGUAUGACAAACCCGAGACUCUGUUGGAGCAGGAGGGCGGGAUGUUCGCUUCAUUCGUAAAGGCCGACAUGUAGACGACUCGGUCAGUCAGGCGGCACGCCGACAACAACUGACAGACUGAUCAGUUGUUUCUUUUAUCGCUUCUGUUUUUUUCAUAAUGACGGGAGAAGAGAUCUGUGACUUUUCAGCACUCCGGUGAAGCCAAUAAUACACAGAGAAGCUUCUCGUUGUCUUCAGUUGAAGGGAAAUCUGAUCCAGAACCUCCGUCGAUCAUCUGUUGAUAUUUCUGAAGUGUUGUACUUGAAUCUUUCAGUCGGGCAAUUAAAUGCUCCCUUUUAUUUUUUUUUUAUAAUUUCCUGUACACAUGAUUUAAUUCCUAAAUCUCAUCAUUUAAUCCAUUUUUUUACAUAUUGGAAAUAAUACAUAUAUGGAGUUUUUCAACAAGUUAAAACAUUUAAAUACCAUAUCAGAUCACUGACCUCGAUACGUCCAGUAUUGGGAACUUUUCACAUCAAUAGAAAUGUAAAACUCUUUAAUUAUUUUGUUAAAAAUGUUUCUUAUAUUUCACAUUUUAAACCUAUGCACAACCCGUAUGAGUAUUAUCACUUGGAAGCACUUGUAUCAUACAAUAAUAGGGGAAGAAGGGAAACGCUUGUUGAAGUAAUGCUAGCUUUGUGUUGCUCCAGCUGGUCUUUGUCCAGUCUGGUCUGCACUGCAAAGUCUGUAUUUGUUUAGACCAGGCUUCAGAGCGGACUUAGACACAAGUUGCAUCUGCCUGGUCAAUUCUGAACAGGGUCAAAACAAGGGCUUGACUACAAAACUAGACAUUGCAAUAAGCAGCAGUUUAGCCACCUAGAGUCUGGAGAAGAGCUAAAAUGUGAUAACUGGUGGUGUCUUUGUGUGGUUUGGUCUGAUUGUGAUUAUUUUACUGACCUGACGCUUUGCAUUGUGGGAGAAAGACUGGUCUGAUGGAUACUGUAGAUUUUGACUGAAUCAGUACCACAUUCGGGUAUCUUUGUCAAACUGUGGAUCUUGCAUUUGUCGCAUACUGCAUUUUGGCCGAAUCAGUUCGUACUACCAGUGAAGUAGGCGGAUUUGGAAACAGCCUCAGACUUAACGUCCGCUCUUUGAGAGAAGAAGUCGAGAGGGGACAAUCAGUUAAAACCCAAGUCCCACUUAGAAAAAUACCAAGAACAUGUCAAGUUGAUGCAACUGUUUAAUUUGUUUUUUUUGGUGUAGUCACAUUUUCUUUGUUAAGUUCUGAAUUAGAAGUUUUACUGAUAGAAAUGACACCGCUGCUGUAGUUUCAUGGAACCUUCUUUUUUUUUUUAGUGUCCAUUAAACCAAACUGUCCUCGCUGAUUUCAAACUGUGUGAGGCUGCAGUCACAUGAUGUCAGAAGACGUCUCUUAUCCCAAAUUUAAAUUUAGGCUUUUUUUAUAACGAUUUUCCUCCUGAACUGGCCUAACGUGGGACAUCAACAUUGUCUACAUUCUCACAUCUGGACUGAAACACUUAGCAAACUUAGCAAACCUUGAAAACGAGUCGUCAGUGUUCCUCCAGCGCUGUCUGUUCUAUCAGUUCUAUUUCUAUCCUCCACUAGUGCAAACACUGUAGGGUGUCGGUGCUGAAGCUGCUGAACCCGCUGUCUGUCUGCAGUCAUGCUUUGCUGAACUUAUAAUCCUCGGGACAAUAAGCCCGGAAAUUAGCUCGCGUUAUCUCCAGAGACGCUUCAAGAGGACUCGGAGAGGUUUUAAAAGUCUUCAAAUUACAGAGCGGACAGAGUUUGAUUUACAGCUCUAAUCUUAAAUCGUGUGUUGAAUCUAGCCCAAGAGACAAGUUAGAAGAAGAAGAAGAAGAAGAAGAAGAUGAAUUUAUCAUUUCAUACAGAAAGAAACACAGAGUGCUUCACAGGAGAAAAAACAAUCAAGCAGACAGGUGUAUGCUCAAGCAAUUCAAGUUGGCCAAGUUAGCAACAUCAUUAGCAUUUAGCAGCUAACAAAUUGAUUAAACCUGGAGACUUACAAUAUUUCAAUCAAAUCUACUCCUGGUUUCAGUGGUGAAGAUGACUCAAGUCAGUGAGCUUCACUAAACAACAACAUGAGCACCGCUAAUGUUUUAUCCUCGUUUUUACUCUCGACUCAACUCGACACACCAAACAAGUCGAGACUCGACCUUUUCUGAAGUCUCUCUGGAAGCGGUGCUUUUGUCCCUUUUUUGUAUUCAGAUAUCCUUAUUUCUACUCUUUGAAUGCUUUUAAUGAGAUUUUUUUUAAAUGACUUUGUACUGUACAGACUGAAUGCCAAAUAGAUUCUGUUUUUUUUUUUUUUUUAAAUUUUUAAACAUUGUAGUCGAGUAUGUUUCAUCUCAACGAGUUGCCACGUUGGGUCCAUUGCAGUGAGUGUGAGCUUGUGUGGGGGGCGAUGAGUCCAGGAGGAGGGGUCAAGUUUGAACGUUGGGUUCUGCAACGAAAAAAAUGCGACUGCCUCCACCUUUAAUUUCUUUAUUUGACUACAUCGAUGAAGAACAUGAUCUGUUACUUUUCUUCUCUGUCUUCAGUUUUGAUGAAAGCAGAUUUUGUUUCCCCCCAUGUGUCUCACUUGUUAACUUAUUGACCUGAACGAACAUAUUCAUAUCUUUUUUUUGCAUGUUAAAAAAGCCACACUGACAUUUUCCUUCUUCUCUGACGAAUGCCCGUCUGACUGUUAAUAAAGCAUCUUAAACACCACACAUCCUUUGUACGAGCACCGGCUCAUUAAGGUCGAUUUCAACAUUUUUAAAUGUAUGUCAUGUACAUUCUGUAUAUCCAAGAAUUUAUAAGCAUCUAUAUCAGAGUGAUAUUAUGUGUGCCUCGUUUUUUUUUACACUUGAAAUGAUAAUAAAAUGCUUUUGAGUGA